rnacentral:rRNA from 1 species
CCUACGGGAGGCAGCAGUGAGGAAUAUUGGUCAAUGGACGAGAGUCUGAACCAGCCAAGUAGCGUGAAGGAUGACUGCCCUAUGGGUUGUAAACUUCUUUUAUAUGGGAAUAAAAUGUUCCACGUGUGGGAUUUUGUAUGUACCAUAUGAAUAAGGAAAGGCUAAGUCCGUGCCAGCAGCCGCGGGAAUAAGGAGGAUCGGAGCGUUAUCCGGAUUUAGUGGGGUUAAAGGGAGCGUAGGUGGAUUGUUAAGUCAGUUGUGAAAGUUUGCGGCUCAACCGUAACAUUGCAGUUGAAACUGGCAGUCUUGAGUACAGUAGAGGUGGGCGGAAUUCGUGGUGUAGCCGUGAAAUGCUUAGAUAUCACGAAGAACUCCGAUUGCGAAGGCAGUUCACUGGACUGCAACUGACACUGAGGCUCGAAAGUGUGGGUAUCAAACAGGAUUAGAUACCCGGGUAGUC